rnacentral:misc_RNA from 1 species
UUAAGUCAGCGGGUAUCCCUACCUGAUCCGAGGUCAAGAGUGUAAAAAUGUACUUUUGGACGUCGUCGUUAUGAGUGCAAAGCGCGAGAUGUACUGCGCUCCGAAAUCAAUACGCCGGCUGCCAAUUGUUUUGAGGCGAGUCUACACGCAAAGGCGAGACAAACACCCAACACAAGCAGAGCUUGAAGGUACAAAUGACG